AUGUUUCAGGAUGAUGAAAGCAGUGUUAAUGGAAUCAACAGUGAUGGUGGGAGCAGCAGUGAUGAUGAAGCCCUGAUGUUGUUCAUGGACCAAAAAAGGAAGAGAAGAAUGAUGCAGAUGGCCUGCAUGAUUGGUAUGUACUACUUGGACUCUUACGGUAACAAAGGACCUAGAAGAGUACCAAUACAGUCUGGGCAUGAUUGGGUUAUGACAACACUAGGCAACGAAACUGCUUGUUACAACAUGUUUAGAAUGCACAGACCAGUGUUUGAAAAAUUGCAUAGUGUGCUUGUUGAUUCCUAUGGUUUGAAGUCCACUAAAAGAAUGUCAUCAGUUGAGUCUCUAGGCCUGUUUCUUUGGAUAGUAGGUUCCCCACAAUCUGUAAGACCUCCGCAUAACACUGGUUCCAGCAUCUCCGACAACGUAUGCAGCUUUCGGCGGCGGCAUAGCUAUGCGCAUGGCCGAUUCCAGCAAAAUCCGACAACCAUUGUAGCUUUUCACGCCAUCAUUGUAUCUUGCGCAAUGGCUGGUUCCGGCAUCUCCGUUUGA
rnacentral:rRNA from 1 species